AGAGUUUGAUCCUGGCUCAGGAUGAACGCUGGCGGCGUGUUUAAGGCAUGCAAGUCGAGCGACGUGCUCUGUAGAACCCAGUACAAGUUUAAAACUUGUGUUGAGCUCUAUAGAGUUACGAGCGGCAAACGGGUGAGUAACACAUUAGUAAUCUACCUUCAAGUUGGGGAUAGCCAGGCGAAAGCUUGAUUAAUACCCAAUGGUAAUGCGGGGACAUAUGUCAUUCGCAUUUAAAGAUUUAUCGCUUGAAGAGGAGCUUAUGUUCUAUCAGCUAGUUGGUAGGGUAAUGGCCUACCAAGGCAAUGACGGAUAGCAGGCGUGAGAGCGUGACCUGCCUCACUGGGACUGAGACACUGCCCAGACACCUACGGGUGGCUGCAGUCAAGAAUAUUCCUCAAUGGACGAAAGUCUGAAGGAGCGACGCCGCGUGACUGAUGAAGUCUUUCGGGAUGUAAAGGUCUUUUCUCAGGGAAGAACUAUGACGGUACCUGAGGAAUAAGAGGUUGCUAACUCUGUGCCAGCAGCAGCGGUAAUACAGAGACCUCAAGCGUUAUCCGGAUUUACUGGGUGUAAAGGGUCCGCAGGCGGAUUAGCGGGUCAGAAGUUAAAACUUCGAGCUCAACUCGAAGACUGCUUUUGAAACUACUAAUCUAGAGUUCGGAAGAGGCAAUCGGAAUUGCUGGUGUAGUCGUAAUAAGCGUUGAUAUCAGCAAGAACACCAAAUGCGAAGGCAGAUUGCUAGUACGUAACUGACGCUCAGGGACGAAAGCGUGGGGAGCAAACAGGAUUAGAUACCCUGGUAGUCCACGCCCUCAACGAUGCACACUAGGUAUUGGCAGUAUCGACCCUGUCAGUGCCGUUGAAAAAAGCUAACGCGUUAAGUGUGCCACCUGGGGAGUACGGCCGCAAGGCUAAAACUCAAAGGAAUAGACGGGGACCCGCACAAGCGGUGGAUUAUGUGGUUUAAUUCGACGAUAAGCGAGGAACCUUACCUGGGCUCAACUACUAGCUGCAUUGGGGCAGAAACGUCCCAAGCCUUCGAGGGUGCUAGAUAGGUGCUGCAUGGUUGCCGUCAGCUCGUGCCGUGAGGUGUACCGUUAAGUCGGGAAACGAGCGCAACCCACGUCGUAUGUUAAAUUGUACAUACGAGACUGCCUGCGCAAGCAGGAGGAAGGAGUGGAUGACGUCAAAUCAGCAUGGCUCUUACGUCCAGGGCUACACACAUAAUACAAUGGCCGGCACAGAGGGUUGCUAAGUCGCGAGACGGAGCUAAUCCCAUCAAAACCGGCCCCAGUUCAGAUUGUAGGCUGCAACUCGCCUACAUGAAGUUGGAAUCGCUAGUAAACGCAUAUCAGCCACGGUGCGUUGAAUACGUUCUCGGGUCUUGUACUCACCGCCCGUCACACCAUGGAAGUUGGCAAUGCCCAAAGCUCUGCAAAGAGUUAAGGCAGGGUCAAUGACUGGGGUGAAGUCGUAACAAGGCAUCCCUAGCGGAAGCUGGGGAUG
rnacentral:rRNA from 1 species